rnacentral:rRNA from 1 species
AUUGAACGCUGGCGGUAGGCCUAACACAUGCAAGUCGAGCGGCAGAAGAGAAAUUGCUCCCGGAUACAGCUGCGGACUGGCGGGUGAUGCCUAGGAAUAUCGGAGGUAGUGGUUGCUAACGUGCGGAAACGGGCGAUCAUACCGCAUAACUCCAUACGGCCUAAGGGGGGGAUCUUCGGAUCUUACGCCCUCAGGUGAGCCUAGGUCGGAUUAGCUAGUUGGCGGGGUAAAGGCCUACCAAGGCGACGAUCCGUAGCUGGUCUGAGAGGAUGAUCAGCCACACUGGAACUGAGACACGGUCCAGACUCCUACGGGAGGCAGCAGUGGGGAAUAUUGGACAAAGGGCGAAAGCCUGAUCCAGCCAUGCCGCGUGUGUGAAGAAGGUCUUCGGAUUGUAAAGCACUUUAGUUGGGAAAGAAAAGCAGCAAGUUAAUACCCUGCUGUUUUGACGUUACCAACAGAAUAAGCACCGGCUAACUUCGUG